rnacentral:misc_RNA from 1 species
UACGUAGGGGGCAAUCGUUGUCCGGAAUUAUUGGGCGUAAAGCGCGCGCAGGCGGGUCCUUAAGUCUGAUGUGAAAGCCCACGGCUCAACCGUGUAGGGCCAUUGGAAACUGGGGAACUUGAGGACAGAAGAGGAGAGUGGAAUUCCACGUGUAGCGGUGAAAUGCGUAGAUAUGUGGAGGAACACCAGUGGCGAAGGCGACUCUCUGGUCUGUCUCUGACGCUGAGGUGCGAAAGCGUGGUAGCAAACAGG